GACGAACGCUGGCGGCGUGCUUAACACAUGCAAGUCGAACGGAAAGGCCCUGCUUUUGUGGGGUGCUCGAGUGGCGAACGGGUGAGUAACACGUGAGUAACCUGCCCUUGACUUUGGGAUAACUUCAGGAAACUGGGGCUAAUACCGGAUAGGAUCUCCUGCUGCAUUGUGGGGGUUGGAAAGUUUCGGCGGUUGGGGAUGGACUCGCGGCUUAUCAGCUUGUUGGUUGGGUAGUGGCUUACCAAGGCUUUGACGGGUAGCCGGCCUGAGAGGGUGACCGGCCACAUUGGGACUGAGAUACGGCCCAGACUCCUACGGGAGGCAGCAGUGGGGAAUAUUGCACAAUGGGCGGAAGCCUGAUGAAGCAACGCCGCGUGCGGGAUGACGGCCUUCGGGUUGUAAACCGCUUUCGCCUGUGACGAAGCGUGAGUGACGGUAAUGGGUAAAGAAGCACCGGCUAACUACGUG
rnacentral:rRNA from 1 species